rnacentral:rRNA from 1 species
AUGGCAUCUCAGGAGGAGGCAGGCGGAUCGCGCCCAAGGAAGGAACCGAUCGAAGAUCUCCUGAAGCGCCUGGAUCUGCAGGAAGAAGAAGAGGAGAACUUCGUCCGGGAGGAGGAAUUCCAGGAAAAUCGGGUGGAGGCGAAGUGGCUCGCGAUUGCAAAAGUCCAUACAGAUAAGGGGUUUAGUCCAUCUGCCAUGUACUCGCAUAUGAGCUCCGCCUGGAAUCCGGCGAAGGAGACGCGAUGGCGCAGGAUUGAAGAUAACCUAUUCCCGGUACAGUUUGGCUGCCUGGGUGACUGGAACACGGCGAUGAACAUGGGGCCGUGGCUCUUCCGUGACCAUGGCCUUCUGAUUGCGGAAUAUGAUGGGUUUACGAAUUCAACUUCUGUAGUGCUUAACAAAAUAGUGGUAUGGGCAAGAAUCUUGAAGUUGCCUGAUAAUUACCUAAUUCAUGCAGCAAUUAAGGGGAUGUGCAGGAAGAUGGGGAAGAUCUUAGAGAUUUAG